UUCCGCCAUCGUCACUCCCCUCAUCCUUCCUUUGCAAAUCAAACCAAAGAGAAACACUCGGACGACAAGUGACAAGUUGCAUAUAUAAAUACCACAGCUGUUGGUGCCUUAUAUGGUAACAGCCUUCCUCUUCUCAUUUUCUUUUUCUAUAAAAUCUGUCAUUUGUUGACUCUCUUCCUCCAUUCUACAACCGCUCUGCUCUUUUCUCCUCUGUUUCACAGGUAUUGUCUCCGCGGUGCCUUUUUGCUGAAUUUUUUUUUUUUUUUUUGGUUUCCUUCCAUUUUCUUUUUAAUUUUUUCUUUACAUGUCCUUCUCUCUCAACUGUUUGCUGCUAUUUCGGUCACAAAAAGGGCGUCUGACUUUCUUUUCUUUUUUAAAAUUCUGUUCUGCUGUUUUAGUUUUACCCAUUCAAGCUUCAAGUCUGUUUGGAUUUAAAUUUGUUUCUGAUUUAUUUUCUGUUCUUGAUUGCCUUUGUUUCCUCAGCUUUCCCGGAAACUUCUCGUAAGUUGACCGUGUUGACUAUAGUCAAACCACGAUCAAACCUGAUGGAGUUUCUUGGUGAUUGUUCACUUAGGCUUGAGGAUUUUGCUUUGUAAAUUUUCACUUCAUUUUAUCACUUGAAACAAUUCAGAGCAUUUUCUGCUUCUCUUAGCUCAAUCUUUUUGUUUCUUUUUUUUCUCUUCUUUUACUCUCUGUGAAAGAAUUAAACCCAAACACGUCUUUGACAAUUCAUUUCGGUUUUCUUUGUUGCAGAGCAACUUUAAGGUAAGUGAAAAAAGACGAAUUGACUUUUGAAUUCUGGAUUUUGCUUUUUUUUUUUUNNNN
rnacentral:lncRNA from 1 species